GGUGGCUCAGUGGUAGAGUGCUUGCCUUGCAUGCAUGAGGCCCUGGGUUCAGUUUCUCAGCACCA
rfam:Dipodomys ordii contig_5206, whole genome shotgun sequence.